UGGUUUCAACGUUGUUUAUUUUAAUUUACAACAAAUUUGAAGGAAGAUAUGAUAUCUUACAUAAAGUCACUAAAGUUGUUGGCACAGUAUUAAGCAAGAGUGUGGUCUAGCGUUGUAGGGAAAACCAGAGUACCUGGAGAAAACCCACUUGUCUGGUUUGGUGACCAUUAACCGAACUCAAAUACGCCCAAGCUGGUUAUUGGACCCGGGUGGCCUUGGUUAGAAGCGAGGGUGUUAACCAGACAACCUUUUAUAUCAUAUUUUAUUUCAUUUGAUAUUUGGUCUUAAAUUAUAUGUGCAAAGUGAAGUUAUACAACUAGUAGAAGUUUUAGAUGUGGCAAGCACAAAUAUGUUAACAAAUCUAGAAUUAUUUUGAAAUGAAAUCACAAAUAAAGGUUAACCAUAGACAAUGUAUUGGGCAAAAUGAUUGCUUGGUUAUUUAUAAUUAAAUGUGCCUUUUCAAGCAUUAACAAGUUCUUAAAUGAUAAUGAUCAUGAUUAACCAAGUUAUUUGAAAGAUUUAUAAGGAUAUUCAUCUAUGUUACAUAUAUUUCAGAAACUUCAAAUCAAGCUGUUUUUAUGUAUGAAAUAUAUUACUAAUUGACCUUACGACAGGAUUUGAUUGACAGGUCCUAUCAGCCAAUCAGAAUGUAGGGCUGAUAAGCCGUGUUGCUAUCCGCCAUUUUGUCCGUCAAACUGACCAGAGUCCGUCAUAUACAUGCGCUGGCAAUUUCUCGCCUUUUUAAGUAUUAUGGUAAAAAGGUGUUGUCAUGGCACUUGUAAUUCGGAUACAAGGUAGCCAGGCCGACUAAAGAUGGCUUCCAAUUCGUUCCGUAUUCGAAACCAGCGAGUUAUUUAGAAAAAUUCAAGUGCUGUAUCAGACUCUGUGGAAGACCUCAUCAACAGCUGAACUUGGAAAUUUUGAAAGAUCGUUCAAAGGCGAAACAUCUUUACGUCUGUACAAAAGUAUUUUUUUGAACAAAACUACUUAUUUCAAUCCACUCAAAAUUUAUUUAAUACUGAAAUUGUCCGUGCAUGACCUAAAUAAGUGUUACUAUUUUUUAAACUAUAAACAUCGUACAUUUAUGCUUUGGCUUGUGUUGUCAAAUCGGCAUUAAUGGCCAUUUAAUAUCAGGUUCAACAUGGACACGAUUGAUUUCAUUCAAGAUAAAGGUAUUUUUGUUGAUACUGUUAUGUAGUUUUUAUAAACUGCUUUGCUUUCAAAGUAAAUCAGGAAAUAUCGUACAACUAAAUUUUUGUCCGAACCAUCGCAUGCUUCCGAAUCUCAUCUACUCGUAUGGUUCCUAUGUAAACAAUGGCUUUUGUAGCUGUCAUUCCGCCACAUUUCAUAGAUUUCUUAUUUUCAUAUCAGCACUUUGUCGACGGGAAAUCCAAUCAAGAAAACCCUGACCCUCAAGCAGCCACUGUAUUUGACCAGCUCACACCAGCUAGGCCUCCUCCAAAACUCAGAUAAAUUUUUGAGCCACCAAAACAAAACGAGAACAGAUCGGUCUGAAUCAUUAAGAACUGAAGCUAACAUCAUAGAGGUACAUCCUUCUAAGAAUCCAUCAAAACAACAUGCUGAACAACUUCAAGAACUCUCUUCAAAAGACCACACUUUCCUGAAAUAAAUAAAAGAUGCCAAUAUUAAAAUAAAUCAGUUACAUGUAUUGUUAAAUAUUUUAAUACUAGCUGUAAAUGCUACUGCCUUUGAUGUUUGCUUUCUACAUGUAUAUCAUAAUGAAAUAUUGACAAGAUAAUAGCUAAUGUUU